GAUGAACGCUGGCGGCGCGCCUAACACAUGCAAGUCGAACGGCACCCCUCUCCGGAGGGAAGCGAGUGGCGAACGGCUGAGUAACACGUGGAGAACCUGCCCCCUCCCCCGGGAUAGCCGCCCGAAAGGACGGGUAAUACCGGAUACCCCGGGGUGCCGCAUGGCACCCCGGCUAAAGCCCCGACGGGGGGGAUGGCUCCGCGGCCCAUCAGGUAGACGGCGGGGUGACGGCCCACCGUGCCGACAACGGGUAGCCGGGUUGAGAGACCGACCGGCCAGAUUGGGACUGAGACACGGCCCAGACUCCUACGGGAGGCAGCAGUGGGGAAUCUUGCGCAAUGGGGGGAACCCUGACGCAGCGACGCCGCGUGCGGGACGGAGGCCUUCGGGUCGUAAACCGCUUUCAGCAGGGAAGAGUCAAGACU
rnacentral:rRNA from 1 species